AUCGCUUCUUGGCCUUUUGGCUAAGAUCAAGUGUAAGAACUCUGGGAGGGAGGUGCCUGGAAGGUGAGCAUAAUUUUUAAUGUAAAUAAAUAAAUAAAGGAUUCUUUUUUUGUGGUUUUUUGGUUUUUUGGAUUUGUUUUUUUCAAGACAGGGUUUCUCUGUGUAGCCCUGGCUGUCCUGGAACUCACU